rnacentral:lncRNA from 1 species
UUCAAGCAUACAUCUCAUAUCAUAAUAUCACAUUUUAUGAAAACAUAUUUAGUGAUAGUUUGACACUUGAGGCUAUGAAACAUAAAAGUAGGCUCUAUCACCACACAUCGGAUAAACGGAUCUCCAACACACCAAAUGUCUCGUAGAGUCGAACAUAUCCCAAAAGUGUAGCACAUAACUAACACUCUCCAACACACCAACAUAUCCCAGUGAAUGGAGCUUAGCUCGCAUUCCCUUAUCUCUCCGAGAUUGUCCCGGGCCUUAACGCC